rnacentral:rRNA from 1 species
CGUCUAAGCAGUAAGGCUGAGUAUUAGGCAAAUCCGGUACUCAUUAAGGCUGAGCUGUGAUGGGGAGAAGACAUUGUGUCUUCGAGUCGUUGAUUUCACACUGCCGAGAAAAGCCUCUAGAUAGAAAAUAGGUGCCCGUACCGCAAACCGACACAGGUAGUCAAGAUGAGAAUUCUAAGGUGAGCGAGCGAACUCUCGUUAAGGAACUCGGCAAAAUGACCCCGUAACUUCGGGAGAAGGGGUGCUCUUUAGGGUUAACGCCCAGAAGAGCCGCAGUGAAUAGGCCCAAGCGACUGUUUAUCAAAAACACAGGUCUCUGCUAAACCGUAAGGUGAUGUAUAGGGGCUGACGCCUGCCCGGUGCUGGAAGGUUAAGAGGAGUGGUUAGCUUCUGCGAAGCUACGAAUCGAAGCCCCAGUAAACGGCGGCCGUAACUAUAACGGUCCUAAGGUAGCGAAAUUCCUUGUCGGGUAAGUUCCGACCCGCACGAAAGGCGUAACGAUUUGGGCACUGUCUCAACGAGAGACUCGGUGAAAUCAUAGUACCUGUGAAGAUGCAGGUUACCCGCGACAGGACGGAAAGACCCCGUGGAGCUUUACUGUAGCCUGAUAUUGAAAUUCGGCACAGCUUGUACAGGAUAGGUAGGAGCCUUUGAAACGU